rnacentral:rRNA from 1 species
CCUACGGGAGGCAGCAGUGAGGAAUAUUGGUCAAUGGUCGGGAGACUGAACCAGCCAAGCCGCGUGAGGGAUGAAGGUACAGAGUAUCGUAAACCUCUUUUGUCAGGGAACAAAGUCGGGGACGUGUCCCCGGAUGAGUGUACCUGAAGAAAAAGCAUCGGCUAACUCCGUGCCAGCAGCCGCGGUAAUACGGAGGAUGCGAGCGUUAUCCGGAUUUAUUGGGUUUAAAGGGUGCGCAGGCGGUCUGUUAAGUCAGCUGUCAAAGGCCGGGGCUCAACCCCGGGCCUGCAGUUGAACCUGGCAGUCUCGAGUUGGAGAGAGGUAUGCGGAAUGCGCGGUGUAGCGGUGAAAUGCAUAGAUAUCGCGAAGAACUCCGAUUGCGAAGGCAGCAUGCCGGCUCCAAACUGACGCUGAGGCACGAAAGCGUGGGUAUCGAACAGGAUUAGAUACCCGAGUAGUC